AUGCAACUAGACUUAACUGUUAGUACAAGUAACAAUAUCAAAACCUCAUGCUUCUAUUUUCAAAAUGUACAUCAAGCCCAAACCGCCCCCUGUUACAGAAAAAAGAAAGGGUGGAAUCGUGAGUUCAAAACUCAGAAAUUAGGAAUAGCGAAAUUCAGGGAGUUAAAUCAGAACAAAGGAAACAGGAAACAGAAAAUUUGGAAGCAAAACUUAAUCACUAACAGUUACAGUUCAGCCAAUAACAGAAAAAUAGUUAACCAGUUGUCCACAACCUCAUCCUCAACAGAAUUUCAAUUUCCCAAUCUUCCUAACUGA